UCUCUCUCUGAUCUCAAUCGGGAGUUCCGGUUUCGUUGGUGUCUAUCUCUACAGAAGGUUGAAAUGACACCAAAGCGAAACCGCAAUUCCCCUUGAGUAGAUGUAGUUGAG
rnacentral:pre_miRNA from 1 species